GCGCCCUUAGCUCAGUUGGAUAGAGCAACGACCUUCUAAGUCGUGGGCCGCAGGUUCGAAUCCUGCAGGGCGCA
rnacentral:tRNA from 1 species